GAAGAAGCACAUAGAAAACACAAAUCAUCCUACACUUACCAAGCUUAACGCACAUACACCCAAUCCCUUUCCAGCACACAGAUCGAUGACGUGGCAUGAAUUUCCAAAUCCCGCCUAAACCCUCAAUUUCAUUUCGUGCGCAAUUGAAUUUCAAUUUCCCUCAUGACUUAAUAUCUCCGCCCUUGGCCAUCUCGACCUCUCCUCACAAUUUCCUCUCUGUCUCUCUUUAUUUUAUUUCUCCUUUUCUCUCUUUUCCAAACCCUAACCCUAAUCUACCAAACCGGAUUCGCCAUGAAAGGAGGUAAAUCGAAGUCAGAUACCAAGGCCGCCAAGUAAGUUUUUCUUACCAAACUUCUUUUUUUCGUUGAAACUCGUCAUCUUUCUCGCGUUUUUACGCGGAGAACCUGCAAAUCGCGUCUUUGCAGAUCUUAGAUCUGUUAAAUUUGGCUUGAAACUCUUACUCUUUGGAUUGCUUGUGUGUAUAGAUACAUCUGUGUCUGUUAUUGUGACGUGGUUAUUUGUACGGCAGUAGGCUUUCCGUGAACAAGAAACCCGCCAAGGCAAGCAAGAAAUCUGGCAAGGCAGCCAAGGACCCAAACAAACCUAAGAGACCGGCCAGUGCUUUCUUCGUUUUCAUGGAAGAGUUUAGAGAGCAGUACAAAAAAGAACACCCUAAAAACAAAUCCGUAGCUGCUGUUGGGAAAGCUGGUGGAGAUAGAUGGAAGUCAAUGUCCGAAGCUGACAAAGCACCAUAUGUGGCCAAGGCUGAGAAGAGGAAGGUCGAGUAUGAGAAGAAAUUGAAAGCCUAUAACAAAGGACAGUCUGAAGGACCCAAGGAAGAAGAGGAGUCUGAGAAGUCCAUGUCUGAGGUGAAUGACGAGGACGAAAAUGAGGAGGAUGGCAGUGCAGAGGAAGAUGAUGAUGAGUAGGAAUGAGCAAGGGGAAUAGCAUAGUCAUGUAGGUUGUGACUGUUUGAACAACUCAUGUUAAUGUGGGGAUAUUUGCUUUUUAAUUUUUUGUUGGUUUUGUCUUCUAGGAGAAGGAUAUCUCUGCUCCCUCUUAUUUUAUCCUUCUCCUUUCUGGGGGAAAAAUGAAUAGUGGUAGGAGGGAGAUGCUUCUGCGUACUCUGUACCAAAAUUAAUGAUUAAGCUAAAUGGUUAUCUUUUGUAGAGAAUGUGGCCUCUUUGAUAUCUGAUGAUUGUUUAGUUUAUGCUUUUUUAAAUUAGAUGUAGUUUUAAUAUUUGGAUUAUUUUGCCUUUGAUUGUUGUCUAUGUUUUACAUGCAAUUGGAAGUGUUGAGCUCUUGCUUGUAAAAUAGUAGAUGGUAAUUCCUUGGGUAUUGAUUUUUGGUUGCUUUGCUUUUAAUGUUUCAUGUUUUUAGGUUGAAUGUUGAAAGUUGUUUGAUCGUUUAGAAAGAAACCUGCCCUUAUAUUAUAUUUGUGACACAAGUACGAAAAUGUCAAUAUAUUACAAAAUCAUUAAGAGUUGUAUUAUCCUCCUUUGAUUAGUUGAUUUAUGUUUCUUAUUUUGUAGGUAACUUUAUGGGCAUCAUCUUUGAGACCAACUUUGUUUUCUGUUCUUUUUCCAAAAUGUCUUGCGUGCUUGUCAAUAUAGUAUGUAUGGGAAAUGUGCAUGAAAUCUAUUGUUAUAAUCAUGGUUGCAGGUAACGGAAACGGGCUAUGCAAUUUUUUUGGUGCUAUGCAAAUCAUUAUAUAUUAAGCAUUUAUAUAUCAAAUAAAGAUCCAAUCAUUUAUCAUAUUUAGGCUUUAUUAACAUUAAUUAAUUUAGACUUGAAGUAAUUAUAUAAAUUGAAAAUAAUUAAUCUUAUUAUCAUGAAAAUAAAUGUUUAGGAGGUUCUUAAUAGUUUUGAUUUUUGUUUUUGAGAGCUUUGAUAUAGAUGUAGACGAUAAGCUUUAAUGUAUUAUAUUUUUACGAUGACCAUAUUUAUAACUGGAUUCAAAAUCAAAAAAAGAAUACCCUUUGUGUUGAGCACUUUUGCCCUUUGAUGACAAUUUAGAACCACUCUAACCCUGUGAUUUAUGAUGUAGAUAUGUCUCUGGCUAUUUUGGAAAUGGGGUUUUGCCACCUAACACUCCACUUUUGCCAUCACCUUCGUGUAAUUGUGAAGUAGCACCUACAAGUCCACCCAUUGAUCCUCCUCUAACUUCACCGUCACCACUACAAUCAUCGUAAUCAUUAUCGUUGCUUAAACUUGACAAUAGAAAAUAACGUUCAGAUUUAGCAUUGUAACUAGCAGCACCACUUUCGUUUACUUGAGUUGGAGCAAUAUCUUCUUCAUCCAAACAAUGAUUUUUUUGACCAUCAAGCACCCUUUCUUUUAACCAUGGAUUUAAUGGGUCAUCUUCUUAAAAAAUGUAAUCCAAGUUAACUGGAUUGUAAUUUCUUUCCAACUCUUGCCAGCUUUUUAUUGUUGUAUUCCUCAUGUUUAAUCUAAUAUUAUCGUGAACAAAAAUAAGUGCAUGUAACUUUUUAUACCUUAGACUGAUUUUUGACUUUGUAUGUAUAAAGGAAAAAGUGCUCAUAUUUCUUGCAUAAUUU
rnacentral:misc_RNA from 1 species